CGUGAUGAUUGUAACGUGAUCAAAAUUGUAGUCCGUUAAAUCUUCUGCCCAUAUUUUUCUUCAAAUAAGAUGAUGGAGUCAUAAAAAAAAUCAAGCUUAACCGGAACAAUUGCAAAGGAGACCCUGCAUGGAAAAGAUUACUGAGCUUAAAAUAAGGGAGCUGUUCAACCAUUCUAGUUUGGAGCUUUAGGAGUAGAGGGAUAGCCAGAAAGGCCACCAUCAGUUGAUUUUUAUGCAAAACUGGGAAACUGUUUCUAAGAAAAUCCAAUCUAAUUGGGAGAAUGUUUUUGGGUUUCUUCUAUUUCUUGCUCCCGUUCUUUCUCUGGGCAUUGAUGGGCUUCCUAAACAAAAUGCAUACUGCUUCGGUUAGAGCUCUGACCAUACUCGCUGCUGGUAAUCUUACUGUUCGUUUUCGCACAGGUAUGCACUGUAAGUUUUUUUUGAAGAAAAAUGAUAAAUGUCGAAAGAGGCAAGUGUUUUUCUUCUUUGGUUUAGUUGC